rnacentral:rRNA from 1 species
CGUCUAGGCGGCCACAUAAGUCUCGCGUGAAAGCUCCUGGCUCAACUAGGAGAGGGCGCGGGAAACUGUAUGGCUAGAGACUCGGAGAGGGGUGCGGAAUUCCCGGUGGAGUGGUGAAAUGCGUUGAGAUCGGGAGGAACACCAGUAGCGAAGGCGGCACCCUGGCCGAGUUCUGACGCUGAAGCGCGAUAGCGUGGGGAGCGAACAGGAUUAGAUACCCUGGUAGUCC